rnacentral:rRNA from 1 species
AUGUCAGCUGACCCACCGGUGUAUGUGAGUGAACUGAUUGAUGCAGCGACAAAGGCUUGGGAUCACCAGAAAGUUCAUGAACAUCUGCAGCCUCCGGACGCUGAAUUGAUUCUGAAGAUUCCGUUGAGCACACGGAACAUAGCAGACAGUUGGGCGUGGCACUAUGAGCGGUCUGGUCUCUUCACUGUCCGCUCUGCGUACAGACUUUUGGUUGACACGAAGAGGAGGAGAGAAGAUUGGCUAGAGGGACGGCCUAAUACGUCUGAUGUGUCUGCUACCCAGGGGCAAUGGAAGAAGCUUUGGAGAGUAAAAGUUCCUAGUGUGGUGAGACAUUUUGCUUGGCGCCUGGCCAAGAAUUCUGUACCUACAGAAUCUGUUCGACACCACCGCAAGAUGACUGAUGAAGCAUUAUGCCCUAUAUGCAAUGGGGCGGAGGACUCCUGGCGACAGGCUCUUGUGGAUUGCAACAUGCCUAAAUGUGUAUGGGCUCUAAUGGAUGAUCAACUGGUUGAACACAUGGUUGCAUGCAAAAAUGACGACGCCCGACUAUGGUUGAUGGAGCUGAUGGAGACAACCAGAGAAGAGGAGUUCGUGAGGAUUCUAGUGACACUAUGGUCCAUCUGGUGGGCGCAUAGAAAAGCCAUCCAUGAGCAAGAAUUUCAAUCUCCAUUAUCAACCUUUUGCUUUGUUGAGAAAUACCUUGGAGACCUGCUCCUGUUGUCGGGAAGAGCUGCACCCAACAACACUGUUUGUACAGCCACUGAAGCAAACGUGGGAAGAAGGAAAAGAACAUGGAAGCAACCAAGGCAGGGUCACAUGAAAGUAAUGGUAGAUGCGGCAGUAGCAAGGAGCGGACACAAGGGAUCAUGUGCGGCGAUCUGCCGAGACGAGGACGGCCAUUUUUUGGGAGCCUCGUCAGUUGUGGUACUGGGACAAGUUGACCCAGAGAUUUUGGAAGCGAUGGCCUUCAGCGAGGGACUCGAUCUGUCAUCUGAUUUAUACCUGCAACGAGUUCAUGUGUCAACUGAUUGUGCAGCUACUAUAAGUCAUAUGAAAGGCACGUACAAGGGACCUAGUACCACUGUCAUCCAGGAUAUUGGAAAGAAGAUGGAAUCAUUUGAAUCAGUCUGCUUCGAACACGAGAAGAGGGAUAUGAACUGGGAGGCUCAUGAUCUAGCUAGAGCCUCGACCAGUUUAGAGUGUGACCGCCAUGUCUGGUUGAUUAAUCCUCCUAAUUUCUUAUGUAUUGAACAAUCUGUCGUGGUUGAAUAA